AAUAUUGCACAAUGGGGGAAACCCUGAUGCAGCGACGCCGCGUGAGCGAAGAAGGCCUUCGGGUCGUAAAGCUCUGUCCUAAGGGAAGAAACGGACGGUACCCUAGGAGGAAGCCCCGGCUAACUACGUGCCAGCAGCCGCGGUAAUACGUAGGGGGCGAGCGUUGUCCGGAAUUAUUGGGCGUAAAGGGUUCGCAGGCGGUCUUUUAAGUCAGAUGUGAAAGGUCACGGCUCAACCGUGGUAAGCAUUUGAAACUGAGAGACUUGAGUUAAGGAGAGGAAAGUGGAAUUCCUAGUGUAGCGGUGAAAUGCGUAGAUAUUAGGAGGAAUACCAGUGGCGAAGGCGACUUUCUGGACUUAAACUGACGCUGAGGAACGAAAGCGUGGGGAGCAAACAGG
rnacentral:rRNA from 1 species